rnacentral:lncRNA from 1 species
UAAUAUUCAUGAGCCAGGCCUUCACUUUAUGAGAUGAAACAAGUGAAUAAGGGCAAAAUCUCCUAAUUUUUGUGACACGUGAUUUAAUAUAGUCAUUGUGUAACUUGUUCUCCAUAAUUCAGAACGAACCUGCCAAAUUCAAAACAAUUAACCCAAAUGAAAGAGUCGCUUGUGUUUUUUAGGCUAAGUUAUUAUUGUUAUUAUUUUUUUAGAGAGAAAGUUUUGUGUUUUUGGACAGAAUAGUUGCUUUCUUCGCCAGAGAGUUUAAUCCGUUACUUUAAUUAAGGUAUUACAUUACGUGUCACCCUGUGUACCCUUCACUCUACUCCAGGGGUCUCCAACCCUGCUCCUGGAGAGCUACUGUCCUGCAAAUUUCAGCUCCAACCCCAAUCAAACACACCUGAAGCAGCUAAUCAAGGUGUUCAGGGCUACUUGAUAAUUACAGACAGGUGUGUUGGAACAGGGUUGGAACUGAAGUCAGCAGGAUGGUAGCUCUCCAGGAGCAGGGUUGGAGAUCCCUGCUCUACUCUCAAUAAAAACUGGUCAACAGUCUGCACGCCCAGCGUCAUUCCUUUUAAAGUUGAUGGCACGUUUAAUCAUUAUGAGGCAUCCAUCAGGUGUGCAAAUGCCCUGGAAUGCUGCAUGUUGAAAACUGCAGGCUGACAUGUUUAGUGGUCCUACCUCUAUGUCAACAUACAUCACACGCUGUAAGCACCAGGGUUGGAUGAGGGUCACCGACAGGAAAGGUUCAUCAACAGACUGGAUAUCUUGUGGACAGUCACUUUCAGAACCAAUCGGAUGGCAGGUCAAGUUUUGCUUGGUUGCAGAAUGUCAGCUAGUUCUCCUGGACAAGAGAGAGAUCAGACCAUUGCUGUUCCAAGAGUGUCGUGCUGAAUCAUGCACUGUAUGGCUCCUGCGACAUAGCACCAGCAUUCCUGAGGGAGUUCAGCUCCAUAAAGACCAGACCACCCAAACCAGAAAUGCCAGUGAGUAGAUUCUGGAGUGCAUAUUUGUAUACACCUGUUUCAGUAAUUUAUUUUCCCUUUGGACAGUUAAGAAACACUUUGAUAAUUAACAAACUCAUCAUAAUGAUAAUAGUGUUUAAAGGUAAUCAAGUGUCAUCGACCAAGUGGAAUACAAAAUCAGUUGCUUGCUAAUCUACACUAACUUUACAAUGGAAUCUUUAUCCUGAGGUUUAGUACACUGUUCUAAAUGAGUGAUUUUAACUUAUGCAAGUUAAUAAGAUUUAGCCUACUCUUUAUGUAAUUUAUUAGAGUAUAUUCAUUUUACUCAUAUUAGUGGAUUUUAAAUGUGAACUUCAAAAUGCCCCUCGCCUUCAUUGUGUUAAAGUUCAGAUGUGACACCAAUAGACAGACCUAUGAAAUAGAACAUGAUGGAACGCACUGUAGACUGUUUUCCGUUUGUCUCGGACAGGCUACAAACCAGUUAUUUGCAGUGGGAGGCAUAAUUAUGAUGGUGUUACAGGACAGCUAUUGUUUAGAAUUGCAUAAUAUGGACUCUCGUUCACAAUGCCAUUGAAUUUGGGGACGAGACACAUUAUGUUAACACUUGUUUUGUGAAAAGGUUAAAGAGAACUCUUGCAUUAAAUAGGCCAGUCUGGUUCUGUCUGUCUGUUUUCUUUUUUCUUUUUUUUUUUAAUUAGUAUUAUAAAUUAACCUUUGAAAAAAAAAUUUAAAUAAAAAGAAAAGUAUAAAACGUAAGAGUGGUCACAUAAAUGUCACAUUCACUGUUCAAAAGUUUGGGGGUUGGUAAGAUUUUUUUUUUAUGUUUUUGAAAGAAGUCUCAAGGUGGUAUUUAGUUUUGAUCAAAUACAGUAAAUAAUAGUUAUAAAUUUUAACUUAGUUGU